CAGUUUUUGCCCUCUUAACUCCUCUCUGCUUCCUUCCAUUGUUUCACCUAACAUGUGCCACACCCACUUCUCCAAAUGGGGUGGCUGCAAUCCCUCAUCUCCCCAUUGAAGAAGCUCUGGGAUCGUCUACACUCGCCUCAAGAAAAGAGAAGAGGGAUAUACAUCCUGUAUGAAGACGUCAAGUCAUGCCCUUAUGAAGAUGUGCACGUCCUGUGGUCGAUCCUGGUGGAGUUGCAUACACCAUCCUUGCCAUCCAAACGAGGCCUUAUAAUAGGCCCAUAGAGAGAGAGAGAGAAGAGGCUAAAGGAACAAUUAAUGAGAAGCUUUCCUAUCAUGUACAUAAUAUAUAAAGCAAACACACACAGAAUCAUCACAGAAACAAAUUAAGACAUAUUUUAAUAUGCACUCAUUCACAUAGUUUCUCUGAUUUUUCAUAGAAGGAUGGCCAUGGCCUUCUUGUAAUAGUGUUAAUUCCCACCUAACUAAUCCCCAAAACAAUCUUUUAUU